rnacentral:rRNA from 1 species
UGGGGAAUAUUGGACAAUGGGCGAAAGCCUGAUCCAGCCAUGCCGCGUGAGUGAAGAAGGCCUUAGGGUUGUAAAGCUCUUUCAGCGGGGAAGAUAAUGACGGUACCCGCAGAAGAAGUCCCGGCUAACUUCGUGCCAGCAGCCGCGGUAAUACGAAGGGGACUAGCGUUGUUCGGAUUUACUGGGCGUAAAGCGCGCGUAGGCGGAUCACUAAGUCAGGGGUGAAAUCCCGAGGCUUAACCUCGGAACUGCCUUUGAUACUGGUGAUCUGGAGAUCGGGAGAGGUUGGUGGAAUUCCGAGUGUAGAGGUGAAAUUCGUAGAUAUUCGGAGGAACACCAGAAGCGAAGGCGGCCAACUGGCCCGAUACUGACGCUGAGGCGCGAAAGCGUGGGGAGCAAACAGG